UACGAAGGGUGCAAGCGUUAAUCGGAAUUACUGGGCGUAAAGGGUGCGUAGGCGGUUGUUUAAGUCUGCCGUGAAAUCCCCGGGCUCAACCUGGGAAUGGCGAUGGAUACUGGGCAGCUAGAGUGUGUCAGAGGAUGGUGGAAUUCCCGGUGUAGCGGUGAAAUGCGUAGAGAUCGGGAGGAACACCAGUGGCGAAGGCGGCCUUCUGGACCAAUACUGACGCUCAUGCACGAAAGCGUGGGGAGCAAACAGG
rnacentral:rRNA from 1 species